UUUGAAGGCAGAUGUAUCAUCAUCACCAUCAUCAAGGAAAGAACAUCCACCCCUCCUCAAGAGGAUCCAUUCCUCCAGAAAGGCAUUUGUUUCUGCAAUGGGGGAAUGGUGUAGGAGAUUUUGGACUUGUACUUUCAACCAAUACAAAGCCUAGACUGAAAUGGACAAAAGACCUCCAUGAGCAGUUCAUAGAAGCAGUAAAUCAGCUUGGAGGAGCAGACAAAAUACAGGCUCAGUAAGAAUCUCCAUGGGCACUCUAAUAUUGGAACAAAAAAAAUUGUGGCAAGAGAAAGGAUGUCUGAGGCAAAUGGAACUCAUGAGUAAUUCAAGCAUUGAAACCCAAAACAAAUAAGAUAUACAAAAGAUAGAAGCAGUGUCGUGGCCAUAGGACUCAAUGUUCACACAGCACUAGUUGAGAUACGUGAAAAGCUUUCCAUUCCCGAAGCACAAUGGCCUCAAGCGAUUAGUGAGCUUUGCGCUCUGAAU